rnacentral:rRNA from 1 species
UACGUAGGUGACAAGCGUUGUCCGGAUUUACUGGGCGUAAAGAGCGCGCAGGCGGUCGAUCAAGUCGAGUGUGAAAGCCCCCGGCUCAACUGGGGAGGGUCAUUCGAUACUGAUCGACUCGAAGGCAGGAGAGGGUAGUGGAAUUCCCGGUGUGGUGGUGAAAUGCGUAGAUAUCUGGAGGAACACCGGUGGCGAAGGCGGCAUCCUGGACCGGUAUUGACGCUGAGGCGCGAAAGCCAGGGGAGCAAACGGG